GGGGCCGUAGCUCAGUUGGGAGAGCGCGACGUUCGCAAUGUCGAGGUCAGGGGUUCGAUCCCCCUCGGCUCCACCA
rnacentral:tRNA from 3 species